rnacentral:rRNA from 1 species
AUGGCUCAGGAUGAACGCUAGCGACAGGCUUAACACAUGCAAGUCGAGGGGCAGCGGUGGUGAAGGCUUGCUUUACCAGCCGGCGACCGGCGCACGGGUGAGUAACACGUAUGCAACCUGCCUGCCACAGCCGGAUAAUCGGGAGAAAUUCCGUCUAAUACGGCAUAAUGCAUCGACGGGACAUCCUGUUGGUGCCAAAGGUUGAUUCCGGUGGCGGAUGGGCAUGCGUCGCAUUAGUUAGUUGGCGGUGUAACGGACCACCAAGACGACGAUGCGUAGGGGUUCUGAGAGGAAGGUCCCCCACACUGGUACUGAGACACGGACCAGACUCCUACGGGAGGCAGCAGUGAGGAAUAUUGGUCAAUGGGCAGGAGCCUGAAUCAGCCAAGUCGCGUGAGGGAUGACGGUCCUAUGGGUUGUAAACCUCUUUUGCCGGGGAGCAAAGUGCCGCACGUGUGCGGUUUGGAGAGUACCCGGAGAAAAAGCAUCGGCUAACUCCGUGCCAGCAGCCGCGGUAAUACGGAGGAUGCGAGCGUUAUCCGGAUUUAUUGGGUUUAAAGGGUGCGUAGGCGGACGCUUAAGUCAGCGGUAAAAUUGCGGGGCUCAACCUCGUCGAGCCGUUGAAACUGGGUGCCUUGAGUGGGCGAGAAGUACGCGGAAUGCGUGGUGUAGCGGUGAAAUGCAUAGAUAUCACGCAGAACUCCGAUUGCGAAGGCAGCGUACCGGCGCCCUACUGACGCUGAAGCACGAAGGCGUGGGUAUCGAACAGGAUUAGAUACCCUGGUAGUCCACGCAGUAAACGAUGAAUGCUAGUUGUCCGGGGCGAUUGAGUUCUGGGUGACACAGCGAAAGCGUUAAGCAUUCCACCUGGGGAGUACGCCGGCAACGGUGAAACUCAAAGGAAUUGACGGGGGCCCGCACAAGCGGAGGAACAUGUGGUUUAAUUCGAUGAUACGCGAGGAACCUUACCCGGGCUCAAACGCAGGAGGGAUGUUUUUGAAAGGAGGCAGCCAGCAAUGGUCUCCUGCGAGGUGCUGCAUGGUUGUCGUCAGCUCGUGCCGUGAGGUGUCGGCUUAAGUGCCAUAACGAGCGCAACCCCUACCUACAGUUGCCAUCGCGUGAUGGCGGGCACUCUGUGGGGACUGCCUGCGCAAGCAGUGAGGAAGGCGGGGAUGACGUCAAAUCAGCACGGCCCUUACGUCCGGGGCGACACACGUGUUACAAUGGCAGGUACAGCGGGAAGCCACCCGGCGACGGGGCGCGGAACCCGAAAACCUGUCUCAGUUCGGAUUGGAGUCUGCAACCCGACUCCAUGAAGCUGGAUUCGCUAGUAAUCGCGCAUCAGCCACGGCGCGGUGAAUACGUUCCCGGGCCUUGUACACACCGCCCGUCAAGCCAUGGAAGCCGGGGGUGCCUGAAGUGCGUGACCGCAAGGAGCGCCCUAGGGUAAAACCGGUGACUGGGGCUAAGUCGUAACAAGGUAGCCGU